UCCAAAGAAGCCCUAAAAGUUAUAAAUUAAAUUUUCUAUUUACCCCUUCCUCCUCCUCCUCCUCCUCCUCCACUUCCUCCUCUACCUCCACCUCCGACUUUCUCUUACCUUUUGCCUGUAUCAUUUUUGCACCCUUCUCCUAUUCUCUUAAUGAUCCAUCAAUCUCUUCCUCUCAUUAUCUCUUUAUUGUUUCGUCAGCGUCGCCUUAACCAAUUGAUUAGAUUUCCAUGCCUCUAGAGACAAAGUUGUUGGUUGCGUACCCUACUUUUCCUCCCCAUGCAUCUCUUACCUCCUUCAUCCGCCACUCUUUUCCAUCCUAACCUCUCUCCCUCUCUUUUUUUUUUUCUUUUUUUUUUUCCUUUCUUACUCUUACAUAUCUCCCAUUCUUACUUAUGCUUCCCUCUAGAACCCUCUCAACAUCACACCUAUCUUUCUUCCAAAUUUGCUUACUCUUACCGUAGUGUUAUGUUCAGCAGAUAAUGGAGUUUCUGCCAAAAUAUUCUGUUCGUUUACUGUUGUAAAUAUUUGGGAUACUUCAGGGUUAGAUGUUG
rnacentral:lncRNA from 1 species